UGUGUAGGUAUGCGCUCGGCCAAGGCCUUAAAAAGUGGUACAGUGGAAAUGGUAGCAUGAAAAGUUAAUGUUUCCGCGUUUAAAGGUUUGUUAGGUGAAUAAUCCGCGCUUCCGUGUGAAAUGUGAAUAGUUGGUGAACGUUAUAAUCGUGUAUCCGUGUUGUUGUAGGUGCAGUGGUGAAAAGUGGUACGAAAGAGUGUUGAAGGUUUGAAGGCGGUGCUAACAGUUAGCGUGACCGGGGCUAUAGAGACGACGAGCAAAUAUUAAUCUGCCGAGGAUCCCAAGCGGUUGCACCUUCUCCUCUAAUAUCCUUCGCCAUAGCCCGUUCGGCCGAACCGUUUUGCUACCGCCUCAUCAACCAAACGGGAAAAUAGAGCGCGACCGUCGAUCGAUCGAAGUAGUCGGGUAAAAGGGUGACUCUUGUCCGGUGGCGGCAUCUCUGUCUGUGGUGGUGGAGUAGCGGAAGUAGCGGUGAAGUGUGUUGGAGAGGAAACCCACGACACAUUUUCUUCGGCAUCGUCGCGGUAUAAGUUUAUUGGUUUUCAACGAAAAAAAAAGGAAAAAAAAAUCAUCGCAAACAUCCGCGAAGGAGCAUUUUGAAACAGAGAGUAGAGGACAAGCAGACGGACAUACCGACACACACAUUCAUACACAUAGAUCCAUACACCAACAUAUUUACGCCCCGUACACAUACACGGUGUACAGCAUACCCUUACAGGAAGUGCGUAGAGGGAGCCACCGGCGAUAAGAAGCGGUCAAAAUGACGAAGGACAGAUUAGCAGCCUUGCAAGCGGAUAUAGAGGCACAGAGCGAUGAUGAGGAUAUGCCUGAGGAUGUGGCUGUGCCGGUGGAGGGCAGCUUCAUGGAAGAUUUCUUCAAAGAGGUGGAAGAGAUACGGAUGAUGAUCGACAAAAUUCAGGCUAAUGUCGAGGAAGUGAAGAAAAAACACAGUGCCAUCCUGUCGGCCCCACAGUCAGAUGAGAAAACCAAACAGGAACUUGAAGACCUCAUGGCCGACAUUAAAAAAACUGCCAACAGAGUAAGAGGGAAGCUUAAGGGUAUCGAGCAAAACAUUGAACAGGAAGAGCAGCAGAGCAAGUCGAAUGCCGAUCUAAGGAUACGAAAAACGCAACAUUCGGCUCUGUCGCGCAAGUUUGUCGAGGUCAUGACGGAGUACAACCGGACCCAGACGGACUACCGAGAGCGUUGCAAAGGAAGAAUACAACGACAACUGGAAAUUACGGGUAGAGCGACUACAAACGAAGAACUUGAGGAAAUGUUGGAGCAGGGCAAUUCGGCCGUCUUCACGCAGGGGAUCAUCAUGGAGACUCAGCAAGCCAAGCAAACUCUGGCCGAUAUCGAAGCUCGACAUGCAGAUAUUAUAAAAUUGGAAAAUUCAAUUAGGGAACUGCAUGACAUGUUCAUGGAUAUGGCUAUGUUGGUUGAAAGUCAGGGUGAAAUGAUUGAUCGUAUAGAAUAUCACGUCGAACAUGCAAUGGAUUAUGUUCAAACAGCGACACAAGACACAAAGAAAGCGCUUAAAUAUCAAAGCAAAGCCCGCCGGAAGAAGAUUAUGAUCCUGAUCUGUUUAACCGUGCUUGGGCUGAUUGUGGCAUCGUACGUCAGUAGCUACUUCAUGUAAAACAAAGAGCGAAGAUAAGAUUGAGGCGCGGAUUUCGCACGACGGCACACGCAAACACGACGUUCCACGUGGUUGGAUUCUGAACAACAACAACAACAUCUACUGCAACAAAACUCAAUGCACAAACGGCGAACAAAUGAUUUAUUCUGCACGUGCGACAGGCAUACACCCAGCCGAAGAGCGGUGUUCUCAAAUGCAAUGAAAAUUAAAUAGAAAACGACCAAAAACGCUAUUACAAAGAAUCGUGGAAGACGGACAGUAUAAGCGAGCAGUUCAUUAUUUCCCUUUGGGUUUGGUUUUAGACAACAAUUAUCGAGAACAAACACUGUUACUGUUGCCUGUAGAGCAACUCGACCGCUAAUUUGUUCAGUCAAGUGACAAGCAGAUCCGUAACGACGAAGGAGAACCACUCAAGUAUUCACCUGCGGCAUAUUCUCUUAUAAUGCAUUCAGUGCGAGCACGGGGCACUGAGUAUCCGAGAAAUGGGGAGCGCACGGGAACUCCGGCUCGGAUAUCCAUACCACCAAAUAUUCAUUUGUCCCUCGGUUUAUUUGGUACAUUUCACCAGCGUACAACAGCGCACGACCGGAGCAAGUACAUUUUAAGAAACGUGUACGGUGUGGCUACGGCAUGUAACCUGUUUCAGUUAAGGCGACACACUGCGAAUACCAGCAACAGGUCGCAAAGGCUCGAUUGUCAACGAACGGCGUACCACUUUUUUGGCGCCAUGUGCGACUAUUGUCAAACAGAUUCAAACAGAACAGACACCCAGUUGUGAAUGCUCCCGCGCUUUCGUUUCGAAUGUCGCCGAUUCGUCAAUCCGCUGCUUACUUCUACAACGCGUGACGCCAAACCUGCCAAAUACCCGAUACCAAAUCGCGAAUACCCGCUGUGCUAGUACACGGAUUUUCCGCUAUGAGGCGGCACCACUGCAAGGACAGUGCAAACCCACCACCCCUCCCCCUCACCCCCACCCCCCGGGGCCACACCGUAGACGCGUUAGAACGAAAAGCAAUCAAACAAGCGCUGCAAUCAAAACUAUUCGAAGAAAUACACAGAGAUGCAAGAGAGAGAGAGAGAGAGGGAGAGAGGGACGAAACACAUUAAAUAGAUAUAUGCUGAUGAGCGCCAGAAGCAACCAGCAGCAGCGGACCGGAGGGUAGAGAUGCCACAAAGAACAAACCAAAUCAAGAUAGAAACAGCAGUAUCAAACAUCUCUUCACGUGCUCCUAUUUUCCCAUAAUACUCACCACCUCAGCACAACAGUGUCUAUCUCUUUUGCAUAUUGUGUAAAUUGUAAACAGGUACCGUAUACCGCGCGACCCCUUGUGCACCUGUGCAUUUAUUUGUGGCUGACCCCACAACCGAACGUUACUCACACGGAAGAACCAGAACCAACCAAACACACCUAAUGUUGAUAACACACGUGUUCAACGUAUGACCUAAACACCAUCCCAGCAAAUCACAACUGGCACGCAGGGGGAGAAGCAAUCUCACGAUCUGGGGGCCGCAUCCGCAGCGUAAACCUCCUAUCCCCAGGUGUCAGGGGGAUGAUGACGAAGCGUCGACAGCGCAUCAGCACGUUGAGAAAAUCGGCUUUCGUUUGCGUUUGCGACCCAGAAACAACAAAACCGAGCGAAAUGAAGCAUUAUUGUUAAAGUGAUCAUUUUUUUCCGUUAAGGUCGGCUUGAAGAAUGCAGGAUCGAAAAUUUGCAAAUCAAUUAUAACCCCGCUCCAUCCCACGACGAUAUAUGAUGUGAGUGCGUGUGCGACAAAUGGUGGCCAUGGUUAACGAUUGUUAAACUAUUUGUUGCUCUUCACGAAUGAAACAGACAUUGGGACGUGUUAGGUGUUCGGGAAUGUCCGGUAGAGAAUACAUGUAUUAUGACGACAAUGGCAAUAAAUGUGAAAAUAGGUAAGGACAAGACAUAUAUGACAGAAGAAUACGGCCACACACAGCCGCAGCAGCUACCAACGAUAGGAAUGUAUUCAUUAUUGAUGGCGGAUAAUCACACCUAACCCUGCUAGAGAGAGGAGACCCACAAUUGCAUUUUCCUGCAAGUGCAUCCCCCGGAGAGACAGUCUCUGCAGAGCACGAACACGUGUGUGUGUGUGUGUGGAGCUACAGGAAAAGAUUAUGCAUCUUUAUACUUUGCACAUAUCCGGCUGCUGCUCUCCGGGUCACAGGCACAGUGGCACGCUUUUAUUUUCGUUCGUUUGUUUUUGAAUUAAGACAGCGGAACAACCAUGUCGCGGAACAGUAAUUGGGCGUGCCAUCAUGACGCAAAAUGUUCAAGAAAAUGUGUGAUAAUAAUUAAUUCGAUAAAGGUCCUUCCCUCUCUCUCUCUCUCUAUCUUGGCGACACAUACGCAACGCAAAAUCUACAACUAAGACACAAACUUAGCAAAGGACUACCUAAGAGAGAGAUGGAGAGAGAGGGAGAAAGUGAACAAAAAAGUAUAUUUUAGAGUUUAGGGCGAUCGAAAAUCUUUACACAGGCACGCGAAAUGUAGAUGUGGGUAUAUAUCGGCCCGAUGAUAUUCUUACACCAGAGCUCGCAGAUAACAACCAUGCAGGAGGAAGAAGGUAGAAGAGUGUGUGAUGCUAGACAUCUUGACCCUUUCGUUUGACGAGGAACGAGGACUAUUACACGGGGGGAAGGAUUCGUUCGGCAAGGAUCGUUUAGUACAGUUCACGUUUGUUUCAUUCGGUUCGCCAUGAAUGAACUGCAUUUUGUGUGUGCAAUUAUGCGCUUCCAGGUAAAAAAAACUACACUCUCUCACUCUCUAUCUAAUUAAACACGUGCACAUGAGAAUAGUCAAUUUAUAUAGCCACAGUGGACGGUUGGUUGAGAGGGACGCGCCCCAGGGAACGUCCAGGGAACGUGUGGGAUUCGUGGGCCUCGGUUGCAUACUUGUGUGUUAUGUUAACGUGAACAGUUUGCGUUGAAGCAUUUUUGAAUGCCUCCCUGUGUUGUUGCUACGCUAUAUUGCAUAGGCAUUCAUGCAA